rnacentral:lncRNA from 1 species
AGUUGUAGUCAAAAAUUGUAUGUCCAAUUUCUCUAAUUAACUCGGUCCCCUGUGCGCUGUGAAUAAUUUUUCGACGAUCACCAAUAAUACAUUUUGGGUCACAGCCGGCAAGAGAGUCAUUGAACACGGCUUGGGAAUAAAUUGGAGAUGAAGAAGAAGGAUCUUUAAAACAAUCGCAAAAACAAGUAGUUUUUUCCUUACUCCGACCUACUUCUCCAAUGCUCGAAAGCAAAUUCACAGGUACGAGGUAAAAAAUCGCAGCGUCGUCUGAACGCAUUUUGAUGAUUUCAGGUUACAAGCUAUUCGGGAAAUAUCUAACGAGACCGGACGACCGAUGGUCUACUCUUGCAGUUGGCCAGCUUACUUCAACGAUGCCAGCUAUCCGCUCAAUUACGAGAUACUGAAAGGAACACUGCCAAUUUAUGGCGCGUAACUACGAUGACAUUCAAGACAGUUACCACAGUCGCUCACCCAAAUCAUGGAUUGGUUUGCUCUUGUUCAAGAUAGCAUUAUCCAACACGCGGGGGCCCGGUCAUUGGAAUGACCCAGACAUGCUUUUAGCAGGAAACUUUACGACACUCGUGAGACAAGCUAAGAUGCAGAUGGCGUAUGGGCCAUAUUGGCCGCCCCUCUGCUGAGUCAACGGAUCUUCACACGAUUCAGCCUGAAUACAAAGAGAUUCUCAGCACAAAGAGCUUAUUGAAAUCAAUCAGGAUCCAUGGGGAUUACAGGGCGUCGAGUUUUAAGAGAGCGACAAAUAGAAAUUUGGAAGCGCGAGCUGAAACCGGAGGACGAGUAUGGUUCGAAGUAUGCUGUGGUGAUAGUGAGCCGAGGGAGGAUGGAACACCAUAUCCCUACAACGUAACGUUACAGGCGAUGGGCUUACGCAUCCCAACGGAUACCACUAUAGGGAUAUUUUCAAGCAUAAUGAGACGGAGCUACAGUACGUUCAACCAAAAUCCUUCAUAACCGUCAGAGUUGUUCCUCAAGGUUGCGUCGUUCUCAAAAUAUUUGCGAGCAAGGAAAGUAAGUCAGAGAACACGACAAACUCAACCACGACGCAGUAGAAGAAAGUCGAUUUGAACCCGUUUAUGAGCACAUUUCUCCAUCACGAUCUCUUAAAUCGCAUAGGAUGGAUUAGCUGUUAAAUUGAUCGAGAAAAAUCAGCAUCAAUGAACAGGGGUCUACAGCCUACGUCGAUUGUUUUCCAUCAGUAAAAAGGACUAUGAUGAGAAACAAGUGAAAAGGAGUUUGUAUGAAGAACAUGUCGGUAAACUUUUGGAAUUUUAGGUAGAUGAAGAUUUGACCCUGAAUACACUGCAACCUGCAUUGUGCGGUUUCUUUGCUAUUGAAAGUGCCAUAUCCUUUUCUUUAAAGGUCAGAUUAGGGACCUGUUGGUCAUGAACAAAAAUGAAUGAUUAAGAAUAUUUUAUCCCUUCGUUAAUCUUUCAGUGAAAGUAUUCUAAAUGUGCUCUCUCUCUCUCUCUCUCUGUGAGAAAAAACUCACCCAUCUUCGGCUUUGUAUUUGCGAAUGUGCUUUGGGGCCCUCCAAAGAACUUUGCUUCUGAAACUUCUGAGAAAUCGAUUUUUUUUCUCUGGAACAGAAGAAUACUUUCUUCAAUGCAGGAUCUCUCUCUUUGAAUUAAUAGUUAUCUCGAAUUUUUUAACGUAUAAAGACUAGGCUUAGGCGUCAUUUUACUCGUGCAAAAACGAAAGAUUACAUUUAAUGAAUCACAUCAAAGGAAAGAAACUUUUAAGGUUAAGGGCGCUUACCAUCAAUUUUACUCAUUCAUUGAUAUUCGACGGUUGGACGAGCCGGCAAUCUAAAAAAAUGGGCUACAGCAAUUAAAAAGAGAAAUUUUUCGUGAAAAUUUGAAAAUCUGCAGGCAGAAGUCGACAUAUUUCAAAUGGGAGAUUGGAUAUUCAAAUCAUUUUCAGCUCAAUUUAUAGCGUUGACUGAUGACUCUUUAAGCCCCAGCGGCGGCCACCUUUCGUCGCGAAGGCAGAUCCAGCGCUGCGCUGCCGUGCUAAGGAGGAACGCCGUAUGAACAUUCGAGAACUGCCAAAUAUCUUUCAAGAACUGCCAAAUUUCUUUCGAGAAAAUGUUAUCUUGGAGGAAAAUUAUGAAUAUUUUUCCUUUAAAUUUUCAGAAGUUUUAGAUCAAGUUUACAAACUAAAUUAUCUGAGAAAUGGCAGACAAGGUGUUCAACAAUUUUCUGGAAAAUAGUGAUUGCCAGGGGAAAUUUGGGCAACGCCUGGAGGCUCGCACGGCGUUUUUCCUUAGCACGCAGGUAGCCGAAGAGGCAUCAAAAGACCGCGUCGGAAAAUUCAGCAGCGCACAGUGGAACGAGUCUUCGAAAAGAAUUUGACAUAAGAUAUAUCACAAAAAUUGCAAAAUUUUACGUUUAUCUCGUCACAAUUUUAAUUUUUAGGGGUGUUUCCAAAAGAAAAUUUCACGAGAAAACAAUGAAACUACUUUAACACAUCAACAUUUCAUAAUAAUGAAGAUAUACUGUUUUUAAAGUUUUUAAAGAUGUCCGACCUCUCCCAUUGCCUCAACCCCUUUGUGCGGCGCGGUGGCCGGGAAAACCAAAAACAACUCGAGAGCGGCCCGCAAAAACAAACGCUGACCCGCCGAAUUCCCAACUCCAAACAACCGCCGGAAAAGCGCGCGAUAUAAACGCGAGCGGGGCCCCAAAAAAAAUUCACUUUAGUUUUGACUUCGAACGAGCACCUAACACUUGCACCAUGGCUUUCGCUGCUCUGACCGUCCUCGCCUGCUUGGGCGCCGCCGCCGCCUACGAGUACGACUACGCCCGGCCGCCAGCCCCUCGUACUUCGCCGACUCCUACCAACAGUACCCCCAGCAACAGUACUACCAGCAGCAGUCCUACCAGUACCCGGCCUACCCGCAGACCUACCGUACCUACGCCCAGGCCCCGGCCAAGAUCGAAGCCGCCCCCGUCCAGGCCAAAUAUGACGUCAUCAGCCAGCCCUCAUACAAGCACGCCCACGCUCCCUGCCCAGCCCCUGUUCCUGAAAUCAAGCCCGUCGUCGUGAAGUCUCAGCUCCCAGUGCCGUUCACCUACGGAGUUCACCGUCAACCCCAGGUCCUCGAGCACCACGCCGCCCCCUCCGUCUUCCACUAUACGGACAAACCCUACGUCGUCAAGCACACCCAGAGCGCCGUCCUCCACGCUACACCCAGAAGCCCGUCGUUGUCGACAACUACGAGCACCCCCAGGUCCACGAGGAGUACGCCAAGCCCGCCGUCAUCGUCGAAGAAGCCUGCCCCGAAGUUGAACACUACCACCAUUAAACGUCCCUCUUGUGAGUUGUUUCUUGCCUAGCGCACCCAUGUUCCUCAGUUGAUCAUAAUACAAACCUGUUGUUAAUUACCUCAAUCUACGCCGCUUCGUUUUUGCUCCUAUCCUGAUUAGCAGUAGGGUGAGAUCAAAAAGACGGAUGUAACCAGUGGUGAUUCUUGUCAAAUUCCUACACUGUUUCUCCUCCAUUUAAAUGCAUGUAAAUGAAUCGAUUUUUGAUGAGGCUUGCUUCAAAUAAAAUCGGUAUUUUCAACGGGUUUAAAUGGAGGGAAGAAAGUGUUGCCAACUUGCAAAAUCGCAACUGGAUGCAACCAGCAUCAGCCGAACUGCAUUUUACGUGCAUUUCUAUCAUAGCUCGUAUUUUUAUCACAGACCUAAACAGCGUACCUUUAUUAAAACCCUCAAUAAACUUUCUCUUGAUUUCAAAAAAAUACUCUCACAAAAAUUAAAUUCAGAAUGUUUCUUGGUUUUAUUUAAAAAAAAAUAAAAGUUGAGAAGAAAUCAGGAGCCCAAAUAGAUGAAUUUAAGCAAAAUCACCCUAACCACAUCAAGUGUCGCCAGUUUAUUUUCAUAAAUAGAGAACUAAUUGACAUUUCUUCUUGAAAUUUUUGUGAAUAUAUGUAUUAUUCACAGUCCAGGUGAACUUCAAAGAAAAAAGUUUCUAGGCUAAAUGCCAUGCAAUUACCAUCAAAGAAUUAAAACAUGAGUGAUAAUUAGGCAUUCGAAAUGCACGCAGGCCUAUUGUAGUAAAAUCCUUUCAAAUAAUGUUUUGAUUUUGUGUGCCAACACUUUAAUGUCUGUGCUGUAGACUUCGCGAAAAGUCUAUAUCUCCGGCAAAAGCAGUUUUAAGCAGUUUUUUUUUGUUGUAAUCAUUUUCCUCAUUUGAGGAACAAAAAAAGAAGAAACUUAUCCGUUAUGAAGUAAUUUAAUUCCAGUUUUACCUCUCUUAAAUUUUCUACGGUAAGAAAAUGCCCAAAAAGUUACUCUCUGUUCACUUUCGACGUUCUAGAAGUCAGAGCGCCUGGUAAACAUACUUUUUAACAGAUAAACUUCUCGAUUUUUGGUUAUGACAGUUGAAAACUGAGGACAAACAAAUGAUGUGCUUAAAAAUAAUCUGUUACGGUAGACCUACUUUUAACAGAGAUGUUCUCAUUUCAUGAUGUCUGAGAAUGAAUUGAAGUCUCGAGACACAAAAGUGUAAAUUUGUUUUGAUUAACCCCUUACCUCCUUUGAAAAAACCCUAGAAACUAUACCGAGAAGAAUCUAAUUCAUUACAACAAAACUUGAUUCUAUGAUAAUUAAGUCACUAAUAUCGUUCAGAUUCUUCAGAGGCGGACGAUCAUGAUUUUAUAUAAACUUCGUGAUUUUUAAAGAAAAAAUGAAGGAAAACCAAGUUACAAUUUUUGAAUGUUUUUUAAAAAAAAUUAUAUAAUCUUUUAGAUUACUUUUUUUAAAUUGGAAAACUAAAUAUUCAAAACUCAAAACAUUAUUCAAAACUUUCGGCAAACUUUCUGUUUGAAUAGAAAUUUUCAGAGUAUCAUAUCAUUUAGAGCCUCCUAAAGAAAUGAAAGUAACAGGUACUUAGAAGCGUGGUUUUGCUUCUUUCGAUUAAUUUUUUAAUUUUUGAGAUUUACUCCUUUCAAAAAAAAAAAAAAAAAAGGCGUUGAACUUUGAGUUGUGCUUUCAAAGAAAUCGAACUUGCUACGAUGAGACGCGACUCGAUUUUGACAUACAUUGAUUAUUUCGUUAAAAAAGUACGCACCCCUGAUAUUUGAUCUCAUUUAGCCUCUUGAUAAGGCAUAGAAUAGUAUUUUAUGGAAUUCUAACAAAAUAUUCCACUUAAAACAAAAUUUUUCGCAUCAAAUGAUGUAAAACUUUAUGAUUUUUCAUUUUAAGUAUGUCUAUUCAUUGUUACUUCACAAAGAGAUUUUUUUUUUUACAAAA